rnacentral:rRNA from 1 species
AGAGUUUGAUCCUGGCUCAGAUUGAACGCUGGCGGCAUGCCUUACACAUGCAAGUCGAGCGGCAGCGCGGGGGCAACCCUGGCGGCGAGCGGCGAACGGGUGAGUAAUGCAUCGGAACGUGUCCUCUUGUGGGGGAUAACCAGUCGAAAGACUGGCUAAUACCGCAUGAGAUCGAGAGAUGAAAGCAGGGGACCGCAAGGCCUUGCGCGAGAGGAGCGGCCGAUGCCGGAUUAGCUAGUUGGUGGGGUAAAAGCCUACCAAGGCGACGAUCCGUAGCUGGUCUGAGAGGACGACCAGCCACACUGGGACUGAGACACGGCCCAGACUCCUACGGGAGGCAGCAGUGGGGAAUUUUGGACAAUGGGGGCAACCCUGAUCCAGCCAUGCCGCGUGUGUGAAGAAGGCCUUCGGGUUGUAAAGCACUUUCGGCCGGAACGAAAUCGCGCGAUCUAAUAAGUCGCGUGGAUGACGUACCGAAGAAGAAGACC